UAGGGAAUCUUCCGCAAUGGGCGAAAGCCUGACGGAGCAACGCCGCGUGAGUGAUGAAGUUCUUCGGAUCGUAAAACUCUGUUAUUAGGGAAGAACAAAUGUGUAAGUAACUAUGCACGUCUUGACGGUACCUAAUCAGAAAGCCACGGCUAACUACGUGCCAGCAGCCGCGGUAAUACGUAGGUGGCAAGCGUUAUCCGGAAUUAUUGGGCGUAAUGCGCGCGUAGGCGGUUUUUUAAGUCUGAUGUGAAAGCCCACGGCUCAACCGUGGAGGGUCAUUGGAAACUGGAAAACUUGAGUGCAGAAGAGGAAAGUGGAAUUCCAUGUGUAGCGGUGAAAUGCGCAGAGAUAUGGAGGAACACCAGUGGCGAAGGCGACUUUCUGGUCUGUAACUGACGCUGAUGUGCGAAAGCGUGGGGAUCAAACAGG
rnacentral:rRNA from 1 species